rnacentral:rRNA from 1 species
UGGGGAAUCUUCCGCAAUGGACGAAAGUCUGACGGAGCAACGCCGCGUGAGUGAUGACGGCCUUCGGGUUGUAAAGCUCUGUUAAUCGGGACGAAAGGCCUUCUUGCGAAUAGUUAGAAGGAUUGACGGUACCGGAAUAGAAAGCCACGGCUAACUACGUGCCAGCAGCCGCGGUAAUACGUAGGUGGCAAGCGUUGUCCGGAAUUAUUGGGCGUAAAGCGCGCGCAGGCGGAUUGGUCAGUCUGUCCUAAAAGUUCGGGGCUUAACCCCGUGAUGGGAUGGAAACUGCCAAUCUAGAGUGUCGGAGAGGAAAGUGGAAUUCCUAGUGUAGCGGUGAAAUGCGUAGAUAUUAGGAAGAACACCAGUGGCGAAGGCGACUUUCUGGACGAAAACUGACGCUGAGGCGCGAAAGCCAGGGGAGCGAACGGGAUUAGAUACCCCGGUAGUCCUGGCCGUAAACGAUGGGUACUAGGUGUAGGAGGUAUCGACCCCUUCUGUGCCGGAGUUAACGCAAUAAGUACCCCGCCUGGGGAGUACGACCGCAAGGUUG